rnacentral:lncRNA from 1 species
GCUCAGAGAGCGCACUCGGCCCGGGAGUCCUGGAGGCUGCCUGCGGUGGGCUGACUCCAAAUAUUCGUUAUCUCCCAGCCCUCACCUUCACCCCCCACCUGGACCGUCCUCCGUCGCCCCUGGACCCUGUCCCCAAGGCCGCAGUGACCUUCCGGGCUGCUAAGGAGAAAGCAGCAGAACUGUAGGGUGCUGCUGGGCCCCUCGCUGGCGCUGACCGUUAGGGCCUUCUCCACCAAGCCGAGGUGCAGGCCUGGCUGACAUAGACAGUGGGGUUUUGUUGUUUGUUUUUGUAGUUUGGACCGGCAAGCUCGUGGAGACUUACUUCCAAGCAGUGUUAACCGGUGUGGCCAGUGCCCACAUUUCCUUGAAACUGUGAUGCAGGAGGUGUGGGGAGCAGCCCCCCUCUAUUAUCCCAGACCCUGGAAUGACCCUAAGGUGAAGGGAGUCCACAGCCCCAAUGUGAGGCCUGUGAAAGUGUGGUUGGGGCUGAGGGUGACCUAGAGACCCCAUUCUCACUGUCUAGGCUGGACUGACUCAGUUUGAGGAUGAAGGUGGCAGGAUGUGAGCCAUGGGACAGCAUCUUUGGGCUUGCCUUCUCCAGACCUUUGCCCAAGAGUCAUAACUGCUUUUCUUCCUCCUGUGCCCCUAAAUCAUUAGUAUGCUUUCUUAAGCCAUGGAUGCCCUAAAGCAGGCCCUAUACAUAUAUGUUAGUGUACAGAAUCACCCACCGAAACUUCAGGGCUUCAUGUGAACUUGGGCCUCCUUAGAUUGGGAAUAUGAUGACCCCCUUACGGGACUUUUGCCGAAGGCAGCAUGUGGAUCCAGGGCUGUUAAGUCCGAGGCCUUGGUUCUCAAUUUGAGUCUCUGCAAGUACACACACAUAAACAUAAACAAAGAUUUAUUUUGUCUGUUCUCCUGUUCAAAAACUAUCAGGCCUUUCCUGAACCCAAGCCCCCUUCUUACUCCACCCUACCUGACAUCUGAGGGCUCUCGUCACUCCCUGGCCUAACAUAAUAUUUAUGAUUGGCUGCUGCUGUUGCUCUGAGCUUCCUGGCAGCCAAGACAAAGAAAGCACGAGAUGACUUUGUAACCCUUCAAAAAAGGGAAGCUUGUUAGGACUUGUCAGAAAUAAACAUUUUUCUGAUCUAUGGUUAGUAUGGGCUGGGAUAGAGCUCUUGCCUAGUGGCUCAAUACACAGCACUAGAAAAAAAUAUUUUUAAAGCUUGGUGAUUGUGUAGGUUGAGUGCAUAUGUCACAGAUAGGGACAUGAGCCUCCAAAACUUGAUUUUCCUCGAGGCCACUAAGUUAGUGACUCAAGGAUUAGGACCAGGGAUCCUGACUCCCGAUCUAGUAAGCCCCCAUUCUUCAGAAGCCAGGCUUUAGUGGACUUUUCAAGAGGGAGAUGAUUUACUUGUGGCCUAAUAACCUCUCGUCUCACUAUCAAUUCUUUUACCCUGGGUGCUUUCCCCAGGGUCUGGGUGCUAAGCUGGACUUAUCAUUGUAGGAAUCUGUAGACAUGUGGUAAACAAGACCUAAAGCUAAACCCAGUGCAGAGUUGAGGGUGGGGGUGGAAUCGCUGACUUGGGGGGGCCCUUUUUUUUUCAGUUUAGAGUUCCUGUACCCAGUAAUGUAACCACCACCACCAUCCCAGCAAACGGGUGAGCUGGACAGUGGAUUUCCCCUGUAGGAUGUAGCCUGGUUCCUAGCUGCACUAUCACUUGUACUGGACCUCAUAGUAAGGGUCAUUUGUCUUUCAGGGGGCCUUGUCAGGGAAGCCUACAAACCCCUUUAGAUGAGGCAAGGAAGGUGUGUGUGUGUCCCACUCAUGUCAUGUGUCCACCCCCUCCCCCCCCCAUUGUGCCAGGAGAUCUUUUGUCUUCUUUAAUGGAAAACCUGCUUCUGUUCCAUUCCUUCACAGGUUUGGUUCCUGUGGCAUAAGUACACACACUAAUCUAGCUGAGACUCGGGUUAGUAAAUGUCAACGGCCCUCAAAAUGUGGGAUUUGAACCCUUGGCUUGCUGACUGUAGGAACAAAAUAGUUCAGUAACCCAGAAAUCUGUACCCAAAAAGUGUCACUCCUGAAUUUGGGCAGGACUAUGCUUCUUAGUUGGCAUCCCCUAUUUUCAAAAAGGCUCCAACAGAUCUGGUCCUGGUCCUAACUUGUCUUCCAACAGGGUCUCCAUGGGCAAAGCAACAGAACUGGGGCCAGUGUGCGGCUAAAGCCCCAGCUGCAGAAGAAAAUAGGGUUCAGCUCCCCAGAUUAGUUACUGUCUACAAGGAUUAAAGGGCCCAAAUAAUGGCUAGCUUCUCCUCUCCUCUGUGCCAAGGGAAGACAUGUAAAUACAGCCGCACGCCAGCUUAGGCAGUAGAUGUGUAUAAAUCGAAUUUAGCAAAUCAGAUCAUGGUUUAAAUGCACUAUUUAAAGCAGUCCUGCAGUGAAGCCUUUUACAAAGGGAAUAAUCAUUUUGUGAUGCUAAUCAUCAGCCUCCAAUUUAUCUCCUUUGUAAGUUCAGAUGUUGGUGCACUGGGUGUUCUGAAAUCGGGGCGCUCUUGUGUAGGGCUCCAGUGAUGACUGUCUGCCUUCUUUUUCUGACCUCUCAUUUUAAAUGGGUGCAUGUCCUGUUUCUCACUGGGGGCCUCAGGAUGCUUGUCAUUUAGCCUGAUAGUUCUCAUCCGUCCCACUCAUCUUUUCAUAAUCUGAUAGAGGCCACUAUUCAGCUGUUCCUGGCUCCUUUUCUGAGAUUUUCCCUCUUCCUGGGGGGAGAUACAAGCCCUGCUGUUCCCAGGCAUUAAACUAACUCCCUCUCUGAUCUGAACCUUCUUUUGUUUCCUUGAGCUUCUGGUACCUCUGUUGUUGAUCAUAAAGACGAUUUCAGAGAUGACUACAUGACACUUAAUCAGCCUCUGAAUUUAGAAGGCAAAUUAAAUGCAGGCACCCCCUUAUUGAAUAGGCAGUGUCCAGAAACGGUCUCCCCAUUCACAGCAAAAAAAGACCCCGAGGCCUGGAUGUUAAAGUGACUUUUUCCCACAAGUUAAAAUCAGAACUCAAAGGAGAACCUGUCUCCUAAUUGCUAUAAAAGUGUUUUAUACACUGAGCUGUAGUUCCUUUCUCUACAGAGAAAAUAAAAUCAGACCAUCUGGGUGGGAGAGAAAGAAUGAAGGAAAGAGAUGGAUCUGAGUGGAAUAAAGGAAGUGGGCAGGAAGCUGGGGAGCUGUGAAGAGCCUGACCUUGCUUAGCUCACAAGCCCUGAUAUAGUGUCUUUGUCAAUGCUGCCACUAUUGACGCGUUCCUUGGUAAUUAUGACUGUGUGUUGGCAUGGCGACUCGGAGUAAGAAGACUAGAGGCAGUGGGUAAAUGCACGACUUGUUCUCGCCUUCUAAAGCAGAGAGGAGCUUUUGUGGGUAGUUCUUCCAGGGAGACGUGGUGGAAAAUUCACCAGGCCCUGUGCUGGAGCAUGGGUAUUGACACGCCAUGGGAGCCAGGUGGCCCUGAUCAGGAUGGCACAAACAGAGGACCUCAGCAAGACUUGGGUCUGACACAGAGGUCUCCCAGAGCCUCCCUCAGCUCCCUUCUGCUGUCUUUGUUCCCUAGCCUUAUACCAUCAAAUGCAUCCAUUUCUAGUCCUUUCUGAGUUAUCUGUUUCAAAUAUGUUGCAGUCUCCCUGAGCUUAAUUGAUCAUACAGUCUUCUACCUAAUAGUCCAUGGUUAUGCAUCUGGAAGCUGAAAGGGAAGGCUGGUAGACCAGGCUGAAAGGAUGGAGUCUGGGCUUUGCUUUCUACCUUGGUGGCCUCUCCAUAAAUAUGUUGACCAUAUCCUCAUCUGAAAAUGGGGACCUGCUGCUGGAGUCAAGAGUUGUAUUGUUCUGCUCAGUGUGAUACCCAAUAGACAUGAAUGGUUGUUCUCAUAAAUGUGGGUAUUAUGGCACAUUUAAAUAAUAUGACUAAAUAAAAUAUGUAAUUAAAAUGACCUGUUUCUUCUGUCUUUGGAAUGAGGCUUCUAGGAGAUUUGAGAUUGCAUAGGGAACUCCCCCUUACAUUCUUGCUGGAAAUGGCCUGUCUAAACCAGAGGGUGGAGCCCUCUUACAGACCUGACACUUGAACUGAUCUAAUCUCAGCCAGGAGAUGUCUAAUCACAGAGUGCAGUGGAAAAACCAGGUGGAGAGUCUCAGGCUUAAGGGGGCAUUUAGGACAGCUAAGAAGAGCCCAUUAGGUGGGGAUUACCCCUCAGUCCUUGGAGGUGGGAGUUGUGGCCUGAAUCUACGGACGACAUUGUGUUUUUCAGCAUUUAGGAUAACCCUGAAAGAACCUUUAGGUAAAAACUUUAGGUCAGCAGUGCCCUAGUGGGUUUGUGUGGGCAGAGCUGGAGCUGACAGGAUCAUGGUUCCAAAAGUGGGACCCACAUCCCCCACUGGUGACUUCCUAGUCUCCAAGAUACAUAAACCACUAAACAAGGGAAGACAGCUGUGUGUCCCAGGUUCACGUCAAACUUCCUUUUGGCUGGGUUCCUUUGGUUGGAACAUGACUGGGGCUGCCCAUCUCCUGGCUGCCCCUCCUCCCCUCAGCCUCUAGCAAGCUGGAGCUUCUGGGAUGCUCCUUGGCUCAAAGCCAGCAUUUUCUUGGAGAGGCUCCUGCUUUGGCUCCCUGCCAGGCCUCUGGUCUCCAGAGAGAUCUCCCCCUCCCCACUCCCAGAGAGGUACUGGACUUAUCCUGCUGUCAGAGGGUAGAGGCCUGCUCAGCCUUCUCACCUUGGAAGACCCCAGUCUAUGGGUCAACUUUGCAGCCAGCCCUAGCCCCUUUCAGAAGUUUCAGUUUCUUGUUGGGGAAACCCUGGUCUGGGUUAGGGACCUUCCAGUCUCCAUACUCCAGGAGUGUCUGAAAAGUGGCUUCUCACUGGAGCUUGAAAGAUGGGGAAUAGAAAUCCUAAUGAGUCAUGGUGAUAUUGGUACGAAGCAUUUACUUGGGGCUUGCACUAUGCCAGGUUCUGUGCUGAUCUUUGCACACUGGGUGUUUGAGGCUUGAUUCAGAAGAAUAAACACAAUCCAGGGCCCACCCCUCUUUUCUUAGCCAAAUGUUAUAUGGGGGUGGCUUGAGGUAUGUCUCAGAAAUUGUAGUUCUUAGGAACCUGACUCAGUUGUCAUAGGGUCCUUAUCUCCCAAGGGAUCAGCUGGGUCUCUGGAGAAGCAGGGAAGCAGCGUGUUGUUGUUUGGGCUGCUAGAAGAUGUCUCUGCUACAUCUCCUGCUUUGGGGACAGCUGAGUCAUCCAGAUGGGAGAGCUCAGAGCCAGGCCUCCAGGAACCCCAGUAAAGAAUUAGAGAGAGGGGAAACAUCUCAUCAGGUCCUGCCUUGUCUUGAUAUUGUCUGUCAGCCAAAGCCUUGCUGUGUCAGUUUAUAAAAAUCAGGGUGUUCCAGGACAGCCAGAGAAACUCUGUCUCAAAUAGAUAGAUAGAUGGAUGGAUAAACAUGUAGGUAGGUAGAUAGAUAAUUAAUUAAUUAAAAUAAAAUCAGGGUGACCCAACUCCACCAGCUCCCACAACUGCAAGAGACUGGCUGCUCAGGGUGAUUGUGGAUUUUUGCUUUCAGUGGUACACAGUCAUAUGGAGGAAGGAUAUGUCCUCUGUCCAACCUUGUUUUCUUUCUAAGGUGUGUGUGUGUGUGUGUGUGUGUGUGUGUGUGUGUGUGUGUGAUGUGGAAUGUGUGUGUAUGCCAUGUGUGUGCAGAUACCUACAGAGCCCAGAAGAGGGCUUCAGGUCCCCUGAAAAUGCAAUCACAGAUGUUGUAAGCUUCCUAACAAGAGUGUGCAAAUCCAGACUUGGUCCUCUGGAAGAGCCAGAAGAACUAACUGCUGAGCCAUCUCUCCAGCCCUCAAUCUUGUUUCCUUAAGCAAAGAAUGCCAUGGCUCCCUUCUGUCUGCCAGUUGGUAGCAUAGAAAUCUACUGGUUAGGAGUGCAGUCAUCACCUCUGAGAGUGUCAUUUCCUUAUCAAGUACCUUGGGAGGGUAAAGAGAAGGAGGGGGGUCUCUGGUUUACCCAUCCUUAUAAGCCUGCAACUUCUUGUAUCCCAUUGCAUUCAAAUACAUUCUAACAUCUCUGCAUAUUUAUUUGCAUAGUGUGUGUGUAUGAGAGAGGGGGUGAUGGAGAGAGAAAGAGAGAGAGAGAGACAGAGAGAGAGACAGAGAGAGAGAGAGAGAGAGGACAAAAUGAGGAACUAAUUCUCCUGUGUGUGUCUGGUGAUCAAACUCAGGUCUUUAGUCUUGGCAGCUUACCUAAGCCAUUUCACUGGCCUGUGUCCCAUCUUAGCUGCCACAGAUUCUCUCUUACAUUGUCAGAGCACAGCAGUAAGGCAGAAGUCGCAAGGCACAACAGGAUCCAGGUUCUGGGGCCUUUCUGAUUUAGUUCAGAAACCAUGAGCAUGCUACUUUUCCUCUUUGUGUGCUACUGUUCUCACCUGCAGAUUUGGGAAUAGCAUUCAAGAAAUACCAGGGCCCAAGUUCAAUCAGUCCCUGGAUCUGAGAAAGAAGGAAAGAGGGGAAAGGAGAGGGAAGAGAAGGAGGGGAAGAGAUAAAUAGAAAUAUAUUGAGAAAAAUAAUAUUAUUAUCCAUCCUAUCUUGAUGUUGGUCACACAUUUGUCGUGAAUAAAAUCCCUGGAAGACAGCAAACAAGGGACCAAGCUUAGCUCUCUGUCAGUUACGCUGCAACAAGUCAUUGUGUUUCCUGAUCGUCCAUAAGCUCCAUAGUGUAGGGAAAACGCUGACCUGCUCCCUGACCUCUGCAUCAGAUAGAAUAGCUUGAAAAGCCUUAGCAGGCACAUGUACAGGGGUAUAGGAUCUAACUUGGGCCCAGGAAGUUAGGAAAAGAGAAAUUUUUCAGGAGAUAGAAGUACCAGAGAAAGCUUCCUGUGCCUAAACAUGUCUUUUUAGGCCACCAAGAGUGCAGGACAGGGCAUCCAUGCCAGAGGAGAGUCCUCUCUGGCCAAAGGUUAGAGAAGCUGGAUGUGUCCUGCUGGACAGGGCAUGAGAUUUGAUAUGGAACAUCAGGUCAGGUGGUGGAAGCCGAGAAUAACAGGCAGGGAGCCAGCUAAAAGAACUGGCCUGGUCACCAUGGGUACAAGAUGAGUGGGAUGGAGUCUGUCAGGCCCUGUGCCACCUAGGCCAGCUGGAGCUGAGCAGGCAUGCCCACUCUGUGUCUGUCGCCUUGUAACACGUGGCCCGGACUCUAGUGGCUCAUGGAGCCAUUUCCAAGUUUGCAAGGAAAUUGUGGAGCUCAGAAAUUGGACAUCUUCCAUGCCACAUUAUUUUCCUACCACAAUCACUUAUUCAUUCAAUGUUUAUUGACUGCACAUGAUGUGUCAAGUAGGGCCUUGGGGACAUAGAGGAAGAAACCACAAUCCUCUACCCAUUCCGUUAGCUCUUCUAAUAUGGAAGCUCAUGUAUCUGUCUACAGCAGGGCAGUCAGGCUGAGGGGAGGGAGUGCUGAGUUAGUAGGCAUGGGAUAUGACAGUUAUCAUCAUUCUGCGGCUUCUGGCCUUCCCUACCCCCCUCCACUCCUCAGGAACCUGCAAGAACAAAGUCAGAGGUCAUUUCCUGCUUUCCCCAUCGUGACCAUCGGUUAGCUUCAGCCAGACUUCGAUUCUCUAAACCCACCGGUUUUUACAGUUUCCCUUUCUCCAUUUAAAACAAUUUUGAUCUUAAGAAUCAGAAUAUCAAUAACUCAUUAAGACUUAUGUGUGAGCAUAGUAGGAAACAUCUUAAGUGCAAUUAAAUAAUAAACCAUACCUGGAGGAAUUCACGGAUAGAUUCUUUCUUCUCUUUAGACACUGGAAGCUUGUCUGGAGUGCCAGGUUCAGAAUUCUACCUGUUUCUCCUUAGGCUGGAUCCCCAGUGCUGUUCUUGGCAGUUAGGCCUGCAUGUAAACUAACAGUAGUGAGCAUCUGGCCACCACUUCCCCACAUAGCUGGGUUGUGGCCCAGCCCUGCAAAUGCAUUCUUCCUUACCUCCAACCCUCUAGCCCUUACUAUGGGCUUUUUCUGUCCCUUGCCUUCCAAGACCAGGAAAGACAAAUGGCUUUCUUCUUCUUGUUACUACUACUCUGGUAAACUUGUUACUGGUGUGUGUGUGUGUGUGUGUGUGUGUGUGUGUGUGUGUGUGUGUGUGUAAGACAAAGCUCUUAGAUAUUCUGGCUGCAUGGAAGUUCUUUCUAAAACUUUGGUUUAGCCACCAGAAGACUCUGAGGAUGCAUCCUGCCCUCUGCUUCCUUACGUACUGUCCAGCUGUUGCUAGUGGGCAAGGUGAGUGCACUUUGAAAUAGGCUCUUCUGUGGACGGGUGAAUAGCUGCUGGUGAGACAGCAGUGCUGGACUCUUUCUAAAAUUUCUAUCUUUCAUUUAGGAAAGCCGAGGUCAGCGAGGAUGCUUCCCAAGGAAGAUAGCAUGUACUUUUAGUUAUGUAUGCUGAACAACAGAGCAAGGAGUGUUCAGGAUCUAGCAGCAAGUGGGUCUUCCUUGCACUGGGUGGCCUUGGCUCCCUUCUGGCUUCCUUUGCUUAGAUUUCCUGGAGGAAGUUUACUGAAUAAAUGUCACAUCCACUGAGACUUGCCAAGGGUUUAAAUAUGGGAGCCAAUUGACAGCACACACUCUCAGUCAUGAGGCUUCCUCCAGAGCAAAGUGGCUCACAGAUUCCCUUGGUGAAGAAGGAGGUGCACAGUUGUCUCAUUUCCUGUUCUGCUGUCCCUCUCAAGGGCCUGGUCUGUCUUCCAGGACAUGCUUCAGGAUCAGAAGAAGAGAAAAGACAGCUUGGUGAUAACUAAAAAGAUGGAAGGAGGAGAAAAUGAAAGGUUGCGUGAAGACAAUGGCUGAGACAGCCCAUCGUUCCACCCUGCACAGCAGCGAGUGCCUCCUUCCCCAGCCUUGUCUCCUCUGUAGUGAGUCUACACAUUACUCUGCUAAACCUGAGGUAAGAAAAAAAAAAGAACCCCUAAACCAUUCUAUUCAAAAGUUAUACCCGUCCCUUGCACAUUCAGAGUUAGCUGUAGAUUAUUGAAGGAAGAAGUCACCAAGAUGAAGGCUUGAGUGUCAGUUUGUAUCUAUCUGCUAGGCCCAUAGACACAAGGCCCUUCAUCCACUCUGGGGCUCCCACCUCUCAGUUCCAAGACUCCCAGCUCCCAGCCAAGCAAGGGAGGGGCAAGGGGCCCAAGGCAGCUGCAGGGGCUAUGUUAGUAAACACUUUACUGGCUUCCUAUUUUCUUCACACACACCCCCACCCUUCUCCACUCCCCGAUGCCCCUUACACACUCCCACCCCCUAGCAUCCCCCUUUCUGUGGCCUGCACAAUGAGCUCAUUGUCCCGGGUGUGAUUUGAAUAAGGGAUCUGCGGGCCUGUUCCCAGCAUUGUCCGAGGGGCUGGGAAAAACCCCAGUGCAGGCAGGAGGACCAGACCAGACAGAGACAGAUGCCUAAAUUAGCAACAAAGCUUUGUGCAGGUCCCCCGGACAAGGGCUCGCCGGUGUGGAGCUGGCCGGCUGCUCGCAUGUCUCCCCAUGUUAAUUAGUUUUGCAUGCAUGUCUGAGAAGGUGCCAGGGGAGAUGUGUUUGCCUUCCUCCUCCCCCAGGAGGGGGCCCUGUUUGUGGCUGGCCAGUGGGCUGGAGGCUGGGGAGUUGAGCUUGGCAGGGCUGGGCUAGGCCUACCUGGGGAGCUAGGCUCAGGCUCUGGAUGGGAAAUCCCAGCUCUUCCCUGCCCUGCUGUUCUUUGCCCAAUGGGGAGCCUGGCCUUGCUCUCUUUGCCCCCUCCAUUCCUUCCCUUACUGCUGAAAGUUGGUCAGCUCCGACUACAGGGAACUCAUUGGCUUCCACCCAGACCUAGGCUACUGCCUGUCCAUCUGUCAGUCUGUCUCUUGCGACACAGGGCCUCUUGGGACCAGGCAGCAGAAGCGACCAGUCUGGGCUCUCUUCUGUCCCAGAGCCAGAUGGCCAGUCGGCUUAUCGCAUUACGGCCUCCUCUGUCCCCAGACCCCUGCCGUCCAUGGCAGGUCAGGAUCUUGUUUGGGAUAUGAUGGAGAAUCUCCCUUUGAGGCUCUUGUAGUAAGGUGGAAGACAGAGUACAGUCCAUGGCCUUGCCACUGACUUACUGUGUGACCUUGGACAGUACAAGUCCCUCUACUCUUAAUCUCAGUAGCAAAAUGAUGAAGUUGAGCUGCAGGAACUCUUGGUUUCCUCCUAGCUGAGGAAAUCUUUGCUGAUUUCAGCUUGUGUUCAUUUAGCACAGUGACAAGAAUGAGACCAGUGAAUUCUGAUGGGGGUAAGUGGGAUGUGGAAGGAAGGAUUCAGUUACUGCAUAAGCUCGUGAGGGCAGCUGAUGAAGGACCUGUCUCCCCAGGCCCUCACAGAGCCCCCUCCCAAGCCUGAGUAUUCCUCUGACCUGUCUGCUGCAGUGAUGGAAAGCCACCCCAGCCCAGCACAGGAGAAGCUGGGUGGAGAGCAACCGCUUUCUGGGCCCCCAGUGUGUCCCGCAUUCACCCCCUGCAUGCAGGCCCUGGGAUAGGGCAUAGGGCUGAGAAAGGCUGGGCACCUCCAGGCUAAGCUUAGCCAAGCCUCCUAGUAACUUCCCACAGGAACCCCAGGAAGUGAGGGGCAGGUUAUAGCCUUGCUCCUCUCAUUCAUGUGCAAGUGUCUGGACAUCUGACUCUGAGCUCUUUGCUGGUCUCUUUCCACCACUCAUGUCCACUGUCUUGCCCUCUUGUGACAUAGCAUUUGGGUUACUGAACAUCCAAGCCUAGGGCUAGUCAGUCCUAACUCCCUAUUCCUUUCUGAUUGUUUUUAAUCACCAAUGAACCAAGCCUAUGCCAUUCUUUAUAGACAGAAAGGAUCUCUCUCUCUUUCUGUCUCUCUGUGUCUGAAUUUUAGAAAGGAUCUCUGUGUAGUCCUAGAUGUCCUGGAAUUCCCUAUGUACUCCAUACUGGCCUUGAAUUUACAGAGGUCUGCCUGCCUCUGUCUCUGGGAUUAAAGGCAUGUAUCACCACUCCCAACCACUCCCAACUACUGUGUUGGGGUGUCUUUGGGUCUAGAAAUCCCAAGGUCUUUGGGAAAAUAUUCUGAUGCCUGGUUGGUUCCCUCUUGUCUUCCUUCUUUGCUAGCCUUCUGUCCUCAGACAUGGUGGGAGGUACCAUGCUCUAGAGUAGACAUCUGAUCGGAGACCCACAGGGAACUCUGUGAUUGGCCUUUAUGUCUUGCUGGACAACAGGUGAGCCUGGGCAUUCUCCUUAUUAUUGCAUGGCUCUAGCCAGUUUACUGCUUCCAUCUCAAUACCGCCUCCCUGCCUCCUGAGCUGUUUCUCACUCAAGCUGGGAAUCUGGUGCAAUAGCCAAAGCUUAGUAAAGAAAGGUAUAGAAGCCAGACACAGUGAGCCAAGUGCCUGCAGUAGGGGUGGGGAAGAGAGAAGAUGGCAGGGCCUUGGGGGAGUUGCCUACUGCCCUCCCUGCCCCAUCUCUCUCUUAGGUGCCUCAGCUGCUGCCUCAGCUGUAUCUCUGAGCUCCUUAAUCUGGUGAUCAGUGUGGUGCUGGGAGGGCGGGCUGGCAGAGGCUUUAGGAGGUGACAAGGGAUCUUAGGAGUCACACUCUGCUAAUGGAGCAUCACCAAGUGUCAUGGCAAAGCUGGAGAAUCACAUUCCAAGCGCAGUUCCCCCUCCAGAGGCAGCAGUCUUGGCCAGGCUGGACCCAGGAUGGGUGGUACCCAAUGAAAGCUAGGACACAGGCUCUGCCUGAUGCAAGGCAUCACUGUGUUCUUUGUUCCUGAUAAGGAAACUUCCGGAGAUUGGUGCUUUCUAGUUCUUUCUAUGUGACUAGGCCUUUAUUUUUCCACAGCUGCUCUGUAUUCCAGCUCCUACAUGCCAACUGUCAAUCCCAAUUAGAAGUGGUGUCUGUAUGUUACAGGUAGUCAUUCUCCUGGUCAGCCAGGAAAUGCUAUCAGAGACAGCCAGAUUUGUUCUACAGCAGAGUAAUUGUGCUAGACAGGAUGUCUUCCAUAUUAGCUUGAGUGGCUCAGUGGAAACUCAGAGAGUUCAGAAACUGAAGUCAGGGUGUGAAUGCAGCUCCAGGUAGUUCUGGGGUCUUAUGGACACCAGGAGGCAGGCAAAACCCUGGCUGGAGAGAAGGGACAGAGGAAGAGAUGCUAAGGGCAGACACUUGGCCCUGGAUUCAUGGGCACUUAGAUCCCUGAAUGUCCUGGGACCUCUAAAGCCUCAUCUACAAUUUUGGAAUUACUGCUACCUGUGGAGUUGCUGUGACUGGUGCAGGCACACAUGCUUUUCUCCAGAACUAUGUGACAGAUGGGAAGGAGUUGAACUUUCCAAGGUCACUUAACAUGGCUGUAUUUGGUGGGAUGGAAACAGUGGUGAUAUUCAGAGUAUUAACUUCCAACUGGCCUUGGUACUGGUAUUGCAACUUGCCUGAACCAGCAGCCCAUGGAAGAGGGCAUAGCUGGGCCUAGAUCAAUCAAUCCAUUUGUCUUUUUGUCUCUCUGUUCUAUCACAUAGGUGUCUAUUCAUCAGCAAGCACACAAACCUCCCUCAGGGCAAUUCCUGACAAGAUGGCAGGAUGCAUGAUCCCAGGGUCUCCUUUGCUCUCUCACCAGGUCCGGUAGGCCUCCCAUGGGGCACACCCCAUCUGAUCUGAGCCUCUCUGUGAGGAUGAGCUUUGCCUGGAUCUUGGACUGUCCUUUUCAGAAGCACUGUGGGCCAAGGAGUUGGGUGGGCCUGUCCUCAUUCUGACUCACCUCCUCGUGCCUCUACUUCUUUCUCUAGGGGCUGUUAGUGGCUCCCAUUGUCUGAGAGUGUGAUGCUGGAGGUGAGAUGGAGCCAUGUUCCUGAAGAAAGCAACUGGCCUCAAGGCAGCUUAAGUCUUCAGCUCCAGAAUUUUGGAGACUAUCCCCUGCCCUGGACAUGUGCACCUUGACAGUAGUGGCUUCUACUGGGUUUUCCUUACUGACAUCUUUCCUUUUCAGGGUCCAAGGUGGCCUAGUAAAAAAAAAUGAGAUCACAAGAAGAACAGCCCCACUCACCUGGAAGUCAGAGGGUCCUUGGCCCUCCUGCUCAGUUCACUAGACAAGCCUCUUUCCUCUCCAGACCUGGGAAGGAACACUGGAUGUGACCGUGUCUGCAGUCACUUAGCUGUAACAUUUUAUAACUUGGAAAUUCUUGGUGGUUUUUUUUUUUUUUCCAGCUUUGUUUCCUGCAAGUCACCCUACCUUCUGCUCCCUAACUUUCAGGAAACUCAGUCUUUUCUCUUUCAAGUUGCCCUGGGACACAGGUAGAUUCCUCUACCUAAAGCCUACAAAGAACCAACCAACCAAAGAAACAAACAAAAAAACCCAAAGCUUGUCUCAUUGCCUACCUUCAAUGUUGGAGCAGCUUGUCCUAGAGCCACAGUGUAUGUUUUAGCCUGAGUCUGGAUACUUUGCCUUCUCCUCUGGUUCCAAAUGUUCUGAACAGUACCCCAGUGGUUUCAGGAAGGUUUGUCAUAUAUUUUGGACCUUCCCUGGGCCAGAUCCCCUUAGACUCCACGAAGGCACCAGUUUUUCUUGAUUCCUGGUUUCUCUCCGUGACUUCCCCAGCUAGGUGACUCCUCUACAGUCACAGCUGAAACAGGUGUGGCUGUGAAGUGUAGAGGAUAUGAAGCCAACAUCCUUGUAUGACCAGUGCAUAACUUCUCUGAGCACUGAUUCCACAUUUCUAAAAUGAGAAAGGGGUGGAGAUCUGCUUCCAAGGUAGAGCUUCAAAGCAUGCUCAGGGCUUUGGGGUGUAUCCUUAAACUCAUAAUAUAACAAUAAUGAUGGUAACCGUACCUUUCAUAUAGAUGUACACAAGACAUAUUAAUAACAUAGAAAAAUACGUUGAAGCAAUUUCAGUUCUUUUAUCUCUUAAUUCCAGCUGCACUCAGAGGCCCCAGAGGCCAUGGUUAUAAAUAAGUCCUUUUCUGGCUUCAGAAUUUCCCUGCUGGGGAGGUCCUGAGACACUCUUGGAAGAGCCUCUCUCCUCCCCGUUUCUUCUUCCCAGCCCUCACAAUACCUGAAGGGGUUCACAGGACACCUGCCUCCCCGAGUACAAGCUGCUCACAAACUAUUUCUCUUGUCUUUAGAUUGUCCUGUGAAGGGAAGUGAUGGGACAGGAUGUUCAGCUUUCAUGGACUCAGACAAGAGAAGUGGUAACUUCUGCCAGGGUCACAGGACAACUACAGAGCCAAGCAGCUUCAGAAAUAGAAGAGUGAGCAGGCAAAGAAAAUGCUACACCACCCAUCCUGAGGCUGCUGCAAUCCUGCCACCAGGGACUCAGCAGGAGACCAGGGAAAGUGCUCCACAACCCUUCUAGAGGGCCUUUGUCACUGACCUGCUGGCCUAGCAUCUCCUCCAUGUCUGCCCAUGCCACACCUUUCAGGACCAUUCUGGGUCUGAUGUGCUGUGGGGAUGCUCUGUCCAGGCACUUAGGAAAUGGAAACAUCACCAUUGGCAUUUUCACCUCAAACAACUAGGCAGUACCUUGGGAAGUAGCCAGAGGAAGCGACUCCAGCCUCCCAGGAGUUAAAGGCGCUUCUCCCCAGCUGUCCUCCCCUUGGUGCUCCUUCUCCUCCCUCCUUCUGCUCACAGCAGGCAGGGCCUGGAACCAGGAGCCAUGCUGCUGUGCUGUUGCCAGGGGAGCUGGGAGGCAGAUCGGAGCUAUGCAGGGGAAAGGCUCAGCCUGUCAAAGUGUCUGAGAUGAACCACCGCCAUCCCUGUGCAGCUGGGCUCAGAUGUGUCUCGGCUCUUGUUCUGUGCCUGAGAACGGUGAAGCCCAGUGAGGUUCAAGGGCACACUCGCUAUUCAUUAGUCAGGGGUUCUUGACGUCCUGUCUCUCCCAGGCAUGGGUUCCCCCCUUCUUCUUUCCCUCCCUCCUAUGACACAUUCCUGGGUGCCUGUGGUGAGGACUGCACACCCCCUCCUGCUCAGCCCCCUCCACACAAACCCUGAAUCAACUCCUGUUAAGGAGACCAGGCGGGACAGAGACAAUGGCUUCAAGAAACCAUUCAGGCGGGACCCCAGCCACAUUCGCCGGCCCUUGACUCCCAGGGCUCCUAUAGAUCCAACUCUGCUGUGACUCAGGGCACCCUUGGGCCCCCAGCUUGCACAUGCCUGGACAGAAGCAGACCACUUGGUGCUGCCCUACACAACAGGCCAGUGCAGUGCUAUUCUCAGUGGGCACCUUGGUGCCUCUGUCCCACUGGCUGGAUCUUUUUUGUGCAGUUUGUUGGAGUAGAAACUGUACAGUAUUUUCUGAAAUGUCACCACUAUGUCAAACUGUAAAAGGCACAUAUCCUUGGUUACUAAUUUCAUGAUUAGGAAUUUGUUCCAGAUACUGGAAACAUUUACUAAGAAGCAUGGACAAAGAACUGUGUGGUUCAACGGGUUAUUUAAUACCAUGGAAUACUACACAGCUGUAAAAGUGUGGUAGAUCUGUCUGCAUGCAGGCUGAUAUCAAAGGCUGACUAAUAAAUGUAAAUGAAUAAAAUAAAUAACAGGGCAGUCAAGUAUGUUCUUAUUUGUAUACAUUUAAAGUCAGUCAUGGAGUCCGAGGUAUGUGAAGGUCAGUGGUGAAAUACACACAGCAUACAAGAGGCCUGGAGUCAAAUAAAACAUAUCAGGGGGCUGGAGAGAUGGCUCAGCAGUUAAGAGCACUGAGUGUUCUUCCACAGGUCUCUGGUUCAAUUCCCAGCACCCACAUGGCAGCUAACAACUGUCUGUAACUCCAAGAUCUGACACCUUCAUACAGACAUACAGACAAAAUACCAAUGCAAAUUAAAUAAAAAAUAAAUAUUAAAAAAUAAAACGUAUCAG